AUUGAACGCUGGCGGCAUGCUUUACACAUGCAAGUCGAACGGUAACAGGCCGCAAGGUGCUGACGAGUGGCGAACGGGUGAGUAAUGCAUCGGAACGUGCCCAGUCGUGGGGGAUAACGCAGCGAAAGCUGUGCUAAUACCGCAUACGAUCUAUGGAUGAAAGCGGGGGACCGUAAGGCCUCGCGCGAUUGGAGCGGCCGAUGUCAGAUUAGGUAGUUGGUGGGGUAAAGGCUCACCAAGCCAACGAUCUGUAGCUGGUCUGAGAGGACGACCAGGCACACUGGGACUGAGACACGGCGCAGACUCCUACGGGGGGCAGCAGUGGGGAAUUUUGGACAAUGGGCGCAAGCCUGAUCCAGCAAUGCCGCGUGCAGGAAGAAGGCCUUCGGGUUGUAAACUGCUUUUGUACGGAACGAAACGGCGAGCUCUAAUACAGUUUGCUAAUGACGGUACCGUAAGAAUAAGCACCGGCUAACUACGUGCCAGCAGCCGCGGUAA
rnacentral:rRNA from 1 species